AGGAUUAUAGUUAACUAUAACAACCGAUUUGCAUUCGGUAGGUGUUGAACUUUCAACUUAUCUUG
rnacentral:tRNA from 1 species